rnacentral:lncRNA from 1 species
CCUCUGAGGAAGCACAGUUCCCGCUCAGCCCAGUCAAAACUGUUCGCUGCUCUGGCACCCCAAUGGUGGAACAAGCUCCCUCACGACGCCAGGACAGCGGAGUCAAUCACCACCUUCCGGAGACACCUGAAACCCCACCUCUUCAAGGAAUACCUGGGAUAGGAUAAAGUAAUCCUUCUAACCCCCCCCUUAAAAGAUUUAGAUGCACUAUUGUAAAGUGGUUGUUCCACUGGAUAUUAUAGGUGAAUGCACCAAUUUGUAAGUCGCUCUGGAUAAGAGCGUCUGCUAAAUGACUAAAAUGUAAAAUGUAAAUGCAGGAAUGGCUUCGGGACAAGUCUGUGAAUGUCUUUGAGUAGCCCAACCAGAGCCCAGACCCAAUCGAACAUCUCUGGAGAGACCAGAAUAUAGUUGUGCAGCAACGCUCCCCAUCCAACCUGACAGAGCUUGAGAGGAUCUGCAGAGAAGAAUGGGAGAAACUCCCCAAAUACAGGUGUGCCAAGCUUGUAGCGUCAUACCCAAGAAGAUUUGAGGCUGUAAUUGCUGCCAAAGUGUCGUGUAAACCCAUGUGGGCUGGGCAAUCAUAUAAAUCAAUCAUCACAUUUGAAAAUACAGUACAACCCCAAUCAAAGUGUGAUCCCUGCUUUGAGAAGGUUCUGGAAGAGGUGACCCGCUACACCCCUCGCUACAUGGAGGAGAUGGAGUUCAUAUUUGACCAACCACAGGAGGAAAAGAGGAAUAGUAUCAGCAAUGAUGGACAUCAUCAACAAUGAGAGUGUGAAGUCUGUGUAUAAUGAGCUCCACAACACUCUCAUUGCCAUUAAUGAGCAGGACAAACUGCACUGGUGGAAGAACAUCCACAGACCGGGCAUGCCCACUGACUGACCUCACUUGCAGGAGUGGGCACCAGAAAAGAAAAGAAAAAAAGGAAAGAAAGAAAAAAAAAGAAAGAGUCUAAUGGCUGGGAUGCCAGUGACACGUUCAACUAGGAGAUGUACAGAGUUAACUCCAUCUGUGGCUUCUUCUCCAUGUACACUGUUCCUCUGGAGAGGACUGCCUCGGAUGAAUGAGACAGAAGGCAGCCCCCCAAUACCACCACCUCGUCUCACUGAAGAACAAUGAAGGCAAGACUGAGGAGUACAAGUACAGUACCAUGGUCUAAGUGAGAGAGUAGACAUGAAUGAGUAGUGCCGAGGGCAGGUGGGUCACGAGAGAAAUCAGACAUACACUAAUACAUGAUCACAUACAAACAUGUAACAAAGUGCCCUAAGCUCACUCUACAGCUAGCUUGAAAUGUUGCGGUUGAAGUCAUCCAAUUGUUACCUUUUGGGUGGCACAAACCAUUGGCACAUUGUCAAGGAGGAAGGUCACGUGUGUUUGCGAGC